AUGCUUCUGGGAAGAAAGAAAGAGGCCGGCCCAGAAUUCCAAACCAGGAGACCUACACCUGUAUUUCUGAUAGGCUGGAAAAAACUGGGACAGGCCCCAUGGGCAUUUAAAGAUGGGACUUGGGAUACUGGGCUGAGGCUGGGGCAGAGAGGUGACAGAAGAACUGAGGGUGCAGACAGAAGAAACCAGGUGUGGCGGGGUCAGGGGUCGAGUGAUGCCAGCGAGUGCAUGGCUGUGCUGCAGGACCGUCCAGGAAGAGGGUGGCCACGAAGGACUCACAAUAAACACACCCGGAGUCUCGGAGGCUGUAUGUUUCAGUGCGUGAAAACACCAAUGGCUAAGCUGAGCAGAUGUGCCAAGCCGUGACAAAGGCAGGCAGGUACCCGAUGCUGGACACUUGGUCAGCAUCCCAGGGGCCACCCACAGAUGGCAUCAGAAAAAGGGGUUGAGUCCCCUCCACGGUGACCCUUCCCUGGACAGGGGACAUUCUCCAAGGAGGCCAGGUGUGUCACCCGAGGUCAAAGAGUGGUCUGCCUGCAGGCAGAUGUCGAGGCCAGGUGAUGAAGCCGUGUACAGGGUCUUCCAGGACAGCAGGGGCUUCUUUCUAGAGUGUGACCCACUCCACUCCUGGCCUGUCCCGUGGGGAAAGAGAGCAAUUCCACUUCUGGGAUGUCCCUCCUUCUCACCUCUGUCCCUCCUUGCAGCAACCGUCCAGGGUGCUCUAGGGGGGACAUUCCCAAGAGCGCCCACUCAUCCAAGUGUCUUGUCCUCUUGGUGACAAAACGCGUGAGGCUGAUUUUCUUGCCUUGGGCUUGCUUUUCUAACUAGGUGUUGCCAGGGUCACUGUCUGCUUUCAUGCCGGGCCCUCCCAGAUCUGAGUGCUGGGUCACCAAACGGCUGCCUUGGCAGCGGGGACCAUCUCCUCAGCCACAUGCCCACCUGAUGUCUGGUGAAGCCCCAGACGUGGACUCGUCACUCACGAAGUAUCUGGUGAACGAGUAAG
rnacentral:lncRNA from 1 species